CCUAAGUCGGAUUAGCUAGAUGGUGGGGUAAAGGCUUACCAUGGCGACGAUCUGUAGCUGGUCUGAGAGGAUGAUCAGCCACACCNGGGACUGAGACACGGCCCGGACUCCUACGGGAGGCAGCAGUGGGGAAUAUUGGACAAUGGGGGCAACCCUGAUCCAGCCAUGCCGCGUGUGUGAAGAAGGCCUUUUGGUUGUAAAGCACUUUAAGCAGUGAAGAAGACUCCGUGGUUAAUACCCACGGACGAUGACAUUAGCUGCAGAAUAAGCACCGGCUAACUCUGUGCCAGCAGCCGCGGUAAUACAGAGGGUGCAAGCGUUAAUCGGAAUUACUGGGCGUAAAGCGAGCGUAGGUGGCUUGAUAAGUCAGAUGUGAAAUCCCCGGGCUUAACCUGGGAACUGCAUCUGAUACUGUUAAGCUAGAGUAGGUGAGAGGGAAGUAGAAUNUCAGGUGUAGCGGUGAAAUGCGUAGAGAUCUGAAGGAAUACCGAUGGCGAAGGCAGCUUCCUGGCAUCAUACUGACACUGAGGCUCGAAAGCGUGGGUAGCAAACAGGAUUAGAUACCCUGGUAGUCCACGCCGUAAACGAUGUCUACUAGUCGUUGGGUCCCUUGAGGACUUAGUGACGCAGCUAACGCAAUAAGUAGACCGCCUGGGGAGUACGGCCGCAAGGUUAAAACUCAAAUGAAUUGACGGGGGCCCGCACAAGCGGUGGAGCAUGUGGUUUAAUUCGAUGCAACGCGAAGAACCUUACCUGGUCUUGACAUAUCUAGAAUCCUGCAGAGAUGCGGGAGUGCCUUCGGGAAUUAGAAUACAGGUGCUGCAUGGCUGUCGUCAGCUCGUGUCGUGAGAUGUUGGGUUAAGUCCCGCAACGAGCGCAACCCUUGUCCUUAGUUACCAGCGGGUUAAGCCGGGAACUCUAAGGAUACUGCCAGUGACAAACUGGAGGAAGGCGGGGACGACGUCAAGUCAUCAUGGCCCUUACGACCAGGGCUACACACGUGCUACAAUGGUAGGUACAGAGGGCAGCUACACAGCGAUGUGAUGCGAAUCUCAAAAAGCCUAUCGUAGUCCAGAUUGGAGUCUGCAACUCGACUCCAUGAAGUAGGAAUCGCUAGUAAUCGCGAUCAGAAGCCG
rnacentral:rRNA from 1 species